CCAAGCAGGGAGGGUGGGCAAAAACUGGGCGCUGGGCUUGGGGCCAGGGCCCUGGGGGAUCCCCCCUUGGCCCCACAUUUGCUGGAAUGAGGGACAACAGUAUUUACUUUGGACAGGACAUCAGAAAGAAAAAGAAUCAAGGGGAGGAGACAACGGUUUUAAAGUUUGGGGGUGGCACUGGGGCAAAGACCAACAACUUGGGGACUUUCCCUUGGCAAGUCGAGGGUAAACAGUAGGACAAGGAGCCGCAGUUUCGGGGGUGCAGGGAGGCACAGGGAACUAGAGGUCUAGACGAGUGACAAAAAAGGUGUAGGGAGCAAUGGAAGAAUCAAAGAAAAUCUUGUGGAAGGGGCGUCCUGACGAGUUGGUUUGUGAACCCCAAGCGGGAAAGAAUAGCUCUGGAGCCCUUCCACGAGAAAAGUCUCCCAUCAACUGGGAGAGACAGCGGGGAAAGGCGAAGAGCUCCCGAAACCGAGGUGUGGGUUACAUUUCUGCGGGUGCACCAAUUGCCAUGAGCGCGGCUGCUUAAUGCUUCUGUCAUUGGAAGUCUGGUCUCCAAACCACCGUCUCAAGCCAGCAUGACUCCAGCUGCCUGGAAUUCCAUUCAUCUCUAAGGGCCGGGAUGUCAGCAGCCACACUUCCCCUGCUGUGGCCCUGCACUGUCAGGCUGGCCCUGAGACACAGGACGCAGGUAGUAGCCUCACCAAAUAAGGAGCUGUGCCACAGGCUGGGGAAAGCCCUUUGGUUCACCUUCCUUCUCAGUCCUCACACCUGGCAGGACUCCUAACUGCUGGAAACGCCCACGACUUUGCCUUCAUCACAAGGGCCCUGUCGCUUUUCUUGUGUGGGAGUGUUGUGUGACAACGUGCACGUGUGCGCGGAUUGCGGCAUCCGUGUUUUCUAGUUACUCAGUAUACAUCAAGUGCUUCUGGAAGAUGACAAGUAUGUUCCUAAGACACAUGUUUGUUGGUUGCUCAAAUAAUAACUAAACCUGACAGAUAGAUUUCACAUGUUGAGAGACAGAAAUAAAAGUUUCUAUCGGAUGA